ensembl:snRNA U6 U6 spliceosomal RNA
GUGCUUACUUCAGCAGUGCGUGCACUAAAAUGGAAAUGACACAGAGAAGAUUAGCAUGGCCCCUGAGCAAGGAUGACAGGCAGAUUCGUGAAGCGUUCCAUAUUUUU